rnacentral:rRNA from 1 species
ACUCAAAUGAAUAGACGGGGGCCCGCACAAGCAGUGGAGUAUGUGGUUUAAUUCGAAGCAACGCGAAGAACCUUACCAGGGCUUGACAUCCCACUAACGAGGCAGAGAUGCGUAAGGUGCCCUUCGGGGAAAGUGGAGACAGGUGGUGCAUGGUUGUCGUCAGCUCGUGUCGUGAGAUGUUGGGUUAAGUCCCGCAACGAGCGCAACCCUUACGGUUAGUUGCUACGCGAGAGCACUCUAGCCGGACUGCCGUUGACAAAACGGAGGAAGGCGGGGACGACGUCAAAUCAUCAUGCCCCUUAUGUCCUGGGCUACACACGUACUACAAUGGCGGACAUACAACGGGUAGCAACUCAGCGAUGGGAAGCCAAUCCUAAAAAGCCGCCUCAGUUCGGAUUGCAGGCUGCAACCCGCCUGCAUGAAGUCGGAAUUGCUAGUAAUCGCGGAUCAGCAUGCCGCGGUGAAUACGUUCCCGGGCCUUGCACACACCGCCCGU